GGUGCCUUGUGUAUGUGGAUCUAUGCUUUGGUUCAUACCUUAACAUGACUCUAUGAGAUAUGUGUGGGAUAUUCUGGGUAUAGUGAAGUAUGCAUAGAAAUUGUGAGUAGUCAAUAAAAAAUCAAUCACUCCUUAUAAGAGGAGAGAACAUCAUAUGUGAUCUCAUAGGAUAAUGACUCAAAAAGUCUUUAGCCAAAGCAGGAGGAACAUUAAAAAGAGUUUUUAAUAGUUCAUCAAUCAAGUCAUCAUCAUUAGAUUGAGAUAUAUAAAUAAAUUAAAAAAAAUCAAUUAUGCAUCCAUGUUGAAAGAAAAAAAAAGUUUGUUUCUUUGGAGAAAUGCAGUGGCUAGUCAGGGUGCAUCUAAAAAUUUUUUAUAAUAACUUGAUAGAAAUCAGAUCUUUAUCUGAUAUGUAGGAGAAUUUAAAUUAAAUUCUUUAAAUUUUGAAUAUAAAACCUCGCA
rnacentral:lncRNA from 1 species